UGUCCUUCCAGGGCAGCUGGGCAGCCACUGUGGGCAGUGGGUGCAGCACAAAGGGCUCACAGCCUCUGUGUGCUGCCUGGGGAACACUGCCUGGCACCAGCACGGCCUGAGUCAGACUGAAAAUGUGAAGCAAAUGGUUUGAAUACUCCCUUGGAGGGUUGCUGUUCUACGGGGGAGCCAGCAGCAGCAUUUCAGCCAUUCUUGGCAGCAGCUCACUGCCAGAGCGGAGAUGCUCUCUCCCCCCGCACCACGUGUGUGUGUUUUGGGGAAGCUCGGGUAGAAUUUACUGUUUGUGGUUUGGGCUGUGCAGGGAGGGCAGGUGGGUCCAUGGCAAAGCACUGCGGUGGCCACCAGCAAAUCAUGCUGCAAGCGAUCUCUGUUACUUGCAAUGUUCAAAGUUGUGACAAGCUGACAACAGGGAGGACAGAUGUACCACAGUGCGAUUUGAGACCUGGGAGCCAGGUACGAAGCUGACGAGGCACGCAGCGAGGCAGAGCUGCUCCUGCAUGGGGGCAGCGAGAAGAGAGAAGAGCGGGAGGGGAAACUUCUCCAUCCCGGCUGCCGGGACAGAGCGGCUCCAGCCCAGCCGGGGGUGCGGCGGGGGUGAGGGAUGGGAUGGGAUGGCAUGGCAGGC
rnacentral:lncRNA from 12 species